rnacentral:rRNA from 1 species
GACAGAGGUCCCGAGCGUUAGGCGGAAUCACUGGGCUUAAAGCGUGUGUAGGCGGACGCUAAGUACCUUGUGAAAUCCCGCGGCUCAACCGCGGAACUGCUUGGUAUACUGGACGUCUUGAGCCAGCUAGGGGCUACCGGAACAAAUGGUGGAGCGGUGAAAUGCGUAGAUAUCAUUUGGAACGCCAAUGGUGAAAACAGGGUAGCUGGGCCGAUACUGACGCUGAGGAGCGAAAGCGUGGGGAGCGAACAGG